ACCAGCAUGGUGUAGUGGACCAUGUUGGACUAUGACUCUGUAGACCAGGGUUCAAUUCCCUGCUCAGCCA